rnacentral:rRNA from 1 species
GGCGAACGGGUGAGUAACACGUGGGCAAUCUGCCCUUCACUCUGGGACAAGCCCUGGAAACGGGGUCUAAUACCGGAUAACACUCUGUCCCGCAUGGGACGGGGUUAAAAGCUCCGGCGGUGAAGGAUGAGCCCGCGGCCUAUCAGCUUGUUGGUGGGGUAAUGGCCUACCAAGGCGACGACGGGUAGCCGGCCUGAGAGGGCGACCGGCCACACUGGGACUGAGACACGGCCCAGACUCCUACGGGAGGCAGCAGUGGGGAAUAUUGCACAAUGGGCGAAAGCCUGAUGCAGCGACGCCGCGUGAGGGAUGACGGCCUUCGGGUUGUAAACCUCUUUCAGCAGGGAAGAAGCGAAAGUGACGGUACCUGCAGAAGAAGCGCCGGCUAACUACGUGCCAGCAGCCGCGGUAAUACGUAGGGCGCAAGCGUUGUCCGGAAUUAUUGGGCGUAAAGAGCUCGUAGGCGGCUUGUCACGUCGGAUGUGAAAGCCCGGGGCUUAACCCCGGGUCUGCAUUCGAUACGGGCUAGCUAGAGUGUGGUAGGGGAGAUCGGAAUUCCUGGUGUAGCGGUGAAAUGCGCAGAUAUCAGGAGGAACACCGGUGGCGAAGGCGGAUCUCUGGGCCAUUACUGACGCUGAGGAGCGAAAGCGUGGGGAGCGAACAGGAUUAGAUA